CGGGACGGGGUGGAGUAAUGUCUGGGAAACUGCCCGAUGGAGGGGGAUAACUACUGGAAACGGUAGCUAAUACCGCAUAACGUCGCAAGACCAAAGAGGGGACCUUCGGGCCUCUUGCCAUCGGAUGUGCCCAGAUGGGAUUAGCUAGUAGGUGGGGUAACGGCUCACCUAGGCGACGAUCCCUAGCUGGUCUGAGAGGAUGACCAGCCACACUGGAACUGAGACACGGUCCAG
rnacentral:rRNA from 1 species